CACGUAGGGUGCGAGCGUUGUCCGGAAUUAUUGGGCGUAAAGCGCGUGUAGGCGGUUCGGUAAGUCCGCUGUGAAAGUCGGGGGCUCAACCCUCGAAUGCCGGUGGAUACUGUCGGACUAGAGUACGGAAGAGGCGAGUGGAAUUCCUGGUGUAGCGGUGAAAUGCGCAGAUAUCAGGAGGAACACCAAUUGCGAAGGCAGCUCGCUGGGACGUUACUGACGCUGAGACGCGAAAGCGUGGGGAGCAAACAGG
rnacentral:rRNA from 1 species